rnacentral:rRNA from 1 species
CCUCCUCGCCGGAAGACCAAGGGUUCCUGUCCAACGUUAAUCGGGGCAGGGUAAGUCGACCCCUAAGGCGAGGCCGAAAGGCGUAGUCGAUGGGAAACGGGUUAAUAUUCCCGUACUUCUUACAAUUGCGAUGGGGGGACGGAGAAGGCUAGGUGGGCCUGGCGACGGUUGUCCAGGUUCAAGUGCGUAGGCUUAAGAGUUAGGUAAAUCCGGCUCUUUUUAAGGCUGAGACACGACGUCGAGCUACUACGGGU